CUCUUUUAACUCUUUUGGCACCUACCUUUUUUCUUUUGCUCAACUCCUUUCUUCCAUCUUUCUACUCCUCUAACCCCUGAAGACCCACCUACCAUCGACUCACCAGACACCGGGAGCUUCGAAGACCGUCUCUCACAGGUCUGCCUUCGUUACCGGAAAUAAAACCAAAGAGAUCAAACACAAGUCAAACUGAAAGUCAUAUCCGAUAAAGAUCGAAACUUCCGACGUAACUUUGGGACGACGGGUUUGAUUGCAGAUCAGAUCGAUUCUUUGGAGUCGCUAAAAGUCAGACAAGACUUAGAGCAAGUCAUCACUCUGGCUUAUAGAAGAAGCAUUAGUAAAGACCGGAAAUGAUAUAGAUUCUUCCAUUAAGAGUCUCAAUGACUUUACAAAUAGGAUGAAGCGGUGACAGAGUGUGGUGGUGACAAUUAUUCGAAUUGCUCGCCGUCUACUGUGGUGGUGGAAUUGACUUCUGUUAAAGAUUUUGGGACAUAGGGCCAGGUUGAUGCGUGUAAGAAGUCCGUGUGGAAUAGGUUUUGCUAAUGGAGUCGUGGAUGCGGUUAGUCCAGUUAUAGGUGCGGCUUGGCCUGCGCUCAAUAAGUCGACUGAACUGGCACUUAAGUUGUCAUCGUCAGAGUCAUCAAAAGUGCUUUCUGAUGGUUCAUUACCCGUUGCAUUACAUGUGGCAGUUUUACAUGGUUGCAUAUGUAUAAGUUUAAGAUGUUUAUGAAUUACAUUGUUCAUAUCUUGGUUAAUAGAUUGCUUACUAAGUGAAUUGGCCGAUUUUUAGGGGUUUACACCUUUAUUUUAGAUAUGAUGGUUGUAAA